UACGAGCCUCACAAACGUUAUUCGGAAUUACUGGGCUUAAAGGGUGCGUAGGCGGUGCGGAAAGUUGGGUGUGAAAUCCCUCGGCUCAACCGAGGAACUGCGCUCAAAACUGCCGUACUCGAGGAAGAUAGAGGUGAGCGGAACUUACGGUGGAGCGGUGAAAUGCGUUGAUAUCGUAAGGAACACCCGUGGCGAAAGCGGCUCACUGGGUCUUAUCUGACGCUGAUGCACGAAAGCUAGGGGAGCAAACGGG
rnacentral:rRNA from 1 species